rnacentral:rRNA from 1 species
GCGGCUUCGGUCGUGAGUAAAGCGGCGAACGGGUGAGUAACACGUGGACAACCUGCCUGGAAAUGGGGGAUAACUUGAGGAAACUCGAGCUAAUACCGCAUACGUCCGCGCCGCACGAGCGGUGCGUGCAAAGAUGGCCUCUUCAUGAAAGCUGUCGUUUCCAGAUGGGUCCGCGGCUGAUUAGCCAGUUGGUGGGGUAACGGCCUACCAAAGCGACGAUCAGUAGCCGGCCUGAGAGGGCGAUCGGCCACACUGGAACUGAGACACGGUCCAGACUCCUACGGGAGGCAGCAGUGGGGAAUAUUGGACAAUGGGCGAAAGCCUGAUCCAGCAACGCCGCGUGGAGGAUGAAGGCCCUAGGGUUGUAAACUCCUGUCAGGUGGGACGAAAAGGCGUCGGUCAAUACCCGGCGCCCCUGACGGUACCACCGGAGGAAGCCCCGGCUAACUACGUGCCAGCAGCCGCGGUAACACGUAGGGGGCGAGCGUUAUUCGGAAUUAUUGGGCGUAAAGGGCGCGUAGGCGGCUUGACAAGUCAGUGGUGAAAUCCCUCGGCUCAACCGAGGAACUGCCUCUGA